CUCCCUUCCCCUCCCUUCCCUUCCCAGGGAGCUCGGUCAGCCUCUGGGGCAGGGUCCUGGCGCGGCACAGAUGCCGCAGGGGCCGCCCCAGGCGGCUGCUGGCAGCAGGCGUGCCAGGCACGGGAAGGCUCCGGUGCCAGACGUGCUUUCUGCGCUCGGCAGAGCGUCGCUGGUGGCUUCCCAGCCGCGCGUCCUCGUCGGGUGCGCCUUGGUCCCGUGAAUGGGAGGCUCUCCCUUUCGCUCGUCGUCCUGUGCUGGCUGCUCUGGAGCCUCCUUUUCUCGGAGCGCCCUCGGCGCUUUCCGAGCGUCCGUAAUUCUGUGCAGUCCAAUAAAGGCAGGAGCUUGACAAGGUUGCAGGUAGGUGGGAGCUCCCCGUAGCCGAGUGAGGCAGCAUGGCAAGUAAGUGUUCCCCGCUCCAGGUGGAGAGGUGGCAGUGGUGCUGGAGGGGAGAAGGGGAGUGUUUUGCAGUCACCUCACAAGGAAGGGCUGCCUGUGCUUUCCUGGGGGCUCAGAUGCCGUGACUGUUAUCCCUGAACAUGGUCUGAGGUCCAGCCUGCCUUGCGCCUCUCUCUGCGCAAGGCGGGAGUUGAGAGGAGGCGCUGGAGGGCUGACCUCUCCAGGAGUGCCUGCGUGCUGCAGCGUUUCUUUACUCCCAUUAGGCUUGUUGUGCAAGGCAGCCCUCCCUGAGGCUUUUCGGUGCCCCAGGGAGGUGGCCCAUGACUUGUGCCGUGCCGUCCUGAAGCCCUCGUGGCCAGGGGCACUGUCGCUCUGCGCUCCCAGCAGGAGCUCGUGCAGCUGGGGCACGCUGCGUCUCGGCGUCCGAAGGAGCCCGUGCCUGGCAGCUGUGGCCACCUGGGGCUGGUGGCCGCAGGGACUGGCCUGGAGAAAGCCGGGCUGAGACUAGCGAGGGCGCAGGGAGGAAAGCGGCGCGUGGUCUGGGAAGGGCUGCGCUCAACCCGCCCUCCUCGCUCUUCUGGGCAGCCUGCGCGGAGGCUGCGCGCGGCGCUGCGGUGGGAGCUCGAGGAGGAUGGCCGUUGUGAACGGGGGGAUGCCGGAGAUCUGGCUGGGAUCUCGGGGUCCGCUCGGGGUGUCACCGGAGCCGGCUGUGAAGGCGGAGGCCGCGUCCAGGCUGGGCAGGAGGAGGAGGACUCCGGGAUGACAGCGGCCAGUUCAGCGAAGCAGGGAAGGGCUCAAGCGACUGGUUUCUGCGGGGCUGGAGAGCCUGCAAGUGAGAUCUGCAGCCAAGCUCGUUGCUCCAAGGUGUGCUGAGGAAGCCGGAAAGAGGCUGAAGGAGGUGAGGCCAGGCUUCUCCACUGAAAGAUGGGACAAUUGCAGAACGGAUACUGUCUUUGUAAAAUUUCAUCUGUUUCUGGAGAGGCUCAAGAGAAGGCCGGCCUGCCAACCUGCUCGCUCUUCAGCCAGGACAGCGCUCCUUGGCUGGGAAAGCCAAGGCAAGCUGAUCCCUGCCCUCCUGCGAGAUGCCUUCUGUUCCGCUUGGAGAUGCUUUUUUCGGUUGUCCUUGUUAUUUAGGAAAAAAAAAAAAGGCAUAAUAAAGUCGAUUCUGAAGGGA